UCAGAACGAACGCUGGCGGCAGGCUUAACACAUGCAAGUCGAACGCAUCGCAAGAUGAGUGGCAGACGGGUGAGUAACGCGUGGGAAUCUACCGUACCCUACGGAAUAGCUCCGGGAAACUGGAAUUAAUACCGUAUACGCCCUUUGGGGGAAAGAUUUAUCGGGGUAUGAUGAGCCCGCGUUGGAUUAGCUAGUUGGUGGGGUAAAGGCCUACCAAGGCGACGAUCCAUAGCUGGUCUGAGAGGAUGAUCAGCCACWUUGGGACUGAGACWCGGCCCAAACUCCUACGGGAGGCAGCWGUGGGGAAUAUUGGACKAUGGGCGCAAGCYUGAUCCAGCCWUGCCGCGUGAGUGAUGAAGGUCUUAGGAUUGUAAAG
rnacentral:rRNA from 1 species